rnacentral:rRNA from 1 species
CCUACGGGUGGCAGCAGUGAGGAAUAUUGGUCAAUGGGCGCAAGCCUGAACCAGCCACGUCGCGUGAGGGAUGAAGGUUCUAUGGUUUGUAAACCUCUUUUAUGAGGGCAUAAAUUGCGGGACGUGUCUCUUAUUGCACGUACCUUAUGAAUAAGGAUCGACGAAUUCCGCGCCAGCAGCCGCGGUAAUACGGAGGGUCCGAGCGUUAUCCGGAUUUAUUGGGUUUAAAGGGUGCGUAGGCGGGAUAUUAAGUCAGCUGUGAAAGUCUGUGGCUCAACUUUAGAAUUGCCGUUGAAACUGGGAGUCUUGAGUGUGGAAGAGGUAGGGGGAAGGCGUGGUGUAGCGGUGGAAUGCGUAGAUAUCACGCAGAA